UACGUAGGGUGCGAGCGUUAAUCGGAGUUACUGGGCGUAAAGCGUGCGCAGGCGGCCCGUUAAGACAGGUGUGAAAUCCCUGGGCUCAACCUAGGAAUUGCGCUUGUGACUGGCGGGCUCGAGUACGGUAGAGGGGGGUGGAAUUCCUGGUGUAGCAGUGAAAUGCGUAGAGAUCAGGAGGAACACCGAUGGCGAAAGCAGCCCCCUGGGCCUGUACUGACGCUCAUGCACGAAAGCGUGGGGAGCAAACAGG
rnacentral:rRNA from 1 species